rnacentral:antisense_RNA from 1 species
GGUUUCUCCCAGCAAAGCUUGGAGGGUUUAGCUGCGCGGAGAGCUCAGCGAGCUCUUCUGUGUCUGUUUGGGGCGUGUGGGCUCCGGGAGCGUGAGGACCGGGAAGCUAGGAGGCUCCUUCCCUUCUGGCGGCUCCCUCACUGAGACCGGGCGGUUUGGUUGCGGGGGAAGUGGAGACGAGCCGCCCUUGACCUUUGACUGCAAGAACUCGCCUUGAGCAGGAUAGAGGCACGUGGACGGUGACCCUCGGGAUGCAAUAAAUGCUGAGACAGAUCAGCAAACAUUGAGUGGGCCAGACACUGUUCUGAAAAAUACGCAGUCGACUUUUGAACAGCACAGGCUUGAACUGCAUGCGGCCACUAAUACUCGGACUUUCUUCUGCCUUUGCCACCCCUAAGACAGCAAGACCCACCCCUCCUGCUCCUCAGCCUACUCGAUGUGAUGAUGAAUAGAGUUUAAAACUAUGCAGCCACAGAGGCGGACAGCUUUCCGUGGAAAAGAGUAGAUCUUUCAUGGAUGGUUGAAGUUGACAGGCAGGCAUCCUGUCUU